rnacentral:tRNA from 1 species
GGUGCUAUAGCUCAGUUGGUAGAGCAUCGGACUGAAAAUCCGUGAGUCGGUGGUUCGAAUCCACUUAGCACCACCA